CCUACGGGAGGCAGCAGUGGGGAAUAUUGCACAAUGGGGGGAACCCUGAUGCAGCGACGCCGCGUGAGCGAUGAAGUAUUUCGGUAUGUAAAGCUCUAUCAGCCGGGAAGACAAUGACGGUACCUGACUAAGAAGCCACGGCUAACGACGUUCCAGCAGCCGCGGUAAUCCGUAGGGGGCACGCGUUAUCCGGAUUUACUGGGGGUAAAGGGGGCGUAGACGGCUGUGCAAGUCGGGAGUGAAAGGCAUGGGCUCAACCUGUGGACUGUGUUGGAAACGGUGCGGCUUGAGUGUCUGAGAGGCAAGUGGAAUUCCUAGUGUAGCGGUGAAAUGCGUAGAUAUCAGGAGGAACACCAGUGGCGAAGGCGGCUUGCUGGACGAUGACUGACGUUGAGGCUCGAAAGCGUGGGGAGCAAACAGGAUUAGAUACCCCGGUAGUC
rnacentral:rRNA from 1 species